rnacentral:rRNA from 1 species
UACGGGGGGGGCAAGCGUUGUUCGGAAUUACUGGGCGUAAAGGGCUCGUAGGCGGCCAACUAAGUCAGACGUGAAAUCCCUCGGCUUAACCGGGGAACUGCGUCUGAUACUGGAUGGCUUGAAUCCGGGAGAGGGAUGCGGAAUUCCAGGUGUAGCGGUGAAAUGCGUAGAUAUCUGGAGGAACACCGGUGGCGAAGGCGGCAUCCUGGACUCUUACUGACACUAAGGCGCGAAAGCGUGGGGAGCAAACAGG